UGGAGUUCUACAGCAGUGGAGUUCGUCCUUCUGAAAGCUCAGUGAUGCUAAAGAGCUGCCCGUUUUUGUUCUUUCUGAGCUGGCAUGUUAUAGAAGAAGGCAGGGUGCCCUGAGUCAAGUGUCAUCAGCUCAGACCCGAGGUGUCUUUCUGCUGCAGUUUCCUGGUGGUGGCUGAUGAAGGUGUGCAAACUCCAUGUGUUUUGGCAGGACUGUUUCAGGCUGGUUAAUGCUGUUCUCCUCUCAGCAUUUAAAUAGUCAUAUUGCAUUUUGUACGUGGCUUCUGCUCUUUCGUCAAAGCCGUAUCUGUGUACCUUUUAGAUUUCCC
rnacentral:lncRNA from 1 species